GGGAUUUCUGUAGCAGUUUCUUUUGCAUAGCAGAGCUCCGACUUUUCCAGCAACAGCGUGUCCCUGGAAGUUACACAAAGUUGUCUUUGAUUGCCUGUGAUCAAAGCCACGAAGGCUCUCCUGCAACAUCUUAGCUUCAGAAAGCCAGGAAAAUCAGAAUGCUGAGAGUAUAUUAAUAAUUCCUAAACACAUUUUUAAGGGUAUCAGAGCCAGGAAGGUGGCUGACUCUGAUGAUAGAACAAGAACCAAAUAUGCUCCUGCUGCUCCAGUAGAGUGGUCUUCAGGUGAUCGAGAUUCUGAGCUCCCAAACCAAGGCAAGAAUAACGAAACUGGAACAGGAGGGCAUGCUGGGCUCCAGCCUCCCAUGACAGUGAAACAUUGCCUUAGAAUGACUGUUGUUAAUACAACUGAGGAAACAGAACACGUAAUCUUGUGAUUAAGUUAUGCACAAUUUGAUUUAAAUUUAGUUUCUGGCAGUUGCUAGGUUUCACUCUGGUAUACUCUCUCGGUGUGGAAGCUGCUGAUUCAGAAAGAGAUGUGCCAAAGCUCAUGUAUUUCCUGGACACAUCUAAGUACUGAAUAAAAUGCUGGUUAAAUAAAUGAGUCAAUUUUCCAAGAAAGACA
rnacentral:antisense_RNA from 1 species